rnacentral:rRNA from 1 species
UACGUAGGCAGCAAGCGUUGUUCGGAGUUACUGGGCGUAAAGAGUGCGUAGGCGGUGUCGCAAGUUCUGUGUGAAAUCUCCCGGCUUAACUGGGAGGGUGCGCCGAAAACUGCGAUGCUGGAGUGUGGGAAAGGCAAGCGGAAUUCCUGGUGUAGCGGUGAAAUGCGUAGAUAUCAGGAGGAACACCGGUGGUGUAGACGGCUCUCUGGACCGUAACUGACGCUGAGACACGAAAGCGUGGGUAGCAAACAGG